UGAUGAUCAUAUCAUCAUGAUCAUCAUGAUCAUCAUGAUGAUCAUAUCAUCAUGAUCAUCAUGAUGAUCAUGAUUAGCU
rnacentral:pre_miRNA from 1 species